AAAGUGAUGUUCCAAGUCAUUUUGAUAUGUUCCUUGCGACUUCUGUAAGUUACUUCUUUUUUACUAGAAACUUCUGUAAGUUGAUUUGUGGCUUUCUUUCAAUUGUUUUACAGCUUGUUUUGUAUGUUUGUUUAUGACAGAAAAGCUCGAAUGAAAGUUUGAGUUAAUGGAUACUGGGGAUUCCCAAACAGCAGAUUAGGAAUGAAUUGGGGAAAGGGUAUGACAUUGUUUUGAGAGUUGACAUUUUGAUUUGUGGCUUUCUUUCAAUUGUUUUACAGCUUGUUUUGUAUGUUUAUGACAGAAAAGCUCGAAUGAAAGUUUGAGUUAAUGGAUACUGGGGAUUCCCAAACAGCAGAUUAGGGAUGAAUUGGGGAAAGGGUACAACAUUGUUUUGAG
rnacentral:lncRNA from 1 species